GCCCGGGUGGCGGAAUAGGUAGACGCGCUGUCUUGAGGGGGCAGUGCCCUUACGGGCGUGCUGGUUCGAUUCCAGUCCCGGGCA
rnacentral:tRNA from 3 species